rnacentral:lncRNA from 1 species
GGCACAGCUCUCUUAGUCUCUACCAGGCGGCCGUCAACCUUGUGUGGCCGAGCCUUCUGCACCGCGUCUACGUGCUUGGGACUGUCAAAGGUCACGAAGCCGAACCCUCGCGACCUGUAGUGUGUGGUUGGGGGGAGGGGGACGAGAACGAAGCAGGGUCAAUAGCUCAGAAUGACAGCUAUACCAGUUUAACUCCAGACAUCACGCCCGCUACAUCUCACCUCUCCAGUCACCACGCCACUACGCCACCACCGACCCCUCGAGUCUACGCAGCCCGGUGUCCGUCUGUGUGUUGUCGUCGGGCGUGACGUGCAGCAAAGGCGGUAACAGCAACGGGAAGUUUUAUCUACGUGAUGGAGGUUUUUCGUGCGGCGAGGUGAUGUGCCGCUGCUGUGAGAUUAGCGGACCACCCCACCCCACUCUACAGCCACAGCACAGCAUAGCCACAGCACAGCGGAGAGGUUGGGGGGAAGGGGACGAGAACGAAGCAGGGUCAAUAGCUCAGAAUGACAGCUAUACCAGUUUAACUCCAGACAUCACGCCCGCUACAUCUCACCUCUCCAGUCACCACGCCACUACGCCACCACCGACCCCUCGAGUCUACGCAGCCCGGUGUCCGUCUGUGUCUUGUCGUCGGGCGUGACGUGCAGCAAAGGCGGUAACAGCAACGGGAAGUUUUAUCUACGUGAUGGAGGUUUUUCGUGCGGCGAGGUGAUGUGCCGCUGCUGUGAGAUUAGCGGACCACCCCACCCCACUCUACAGCCACAGCACAGCAUAGCCACAGCACAGCGGAGAGGUUGGGGAUGGGGGAGAACGAGAACGAAGCAAGGUCAUUAGCUCAAUGGCAGCUAGAUCAGUAUAACUCCAGACAUCACGCCACCACCGACCCCUCGAGUGUACGAGUGAUUGGGAGGAAUGAAAGUGAGCGUGAAUGGAGGCAAGAGGAGGCAGAGUGGAAACUGAAUGCAGUGUGAUAAGAGACAGAAGGGAUGAUUUAGUGGAGUGUGUGACCGAGUUAGGGCACUAUGAAGACGUGUAAGGAAUGGUGGUGGUGGUGGAGAAACUAAGUUGAGACGAGUGAAAGGGUUUCAGCCAGUUUUAGGACGGACAGAGGAGGGAAAUGGUGUUAGUGAGUUAGGGCUUAUUAUGGAUGAAAUGAAGACGUGAAGGGAAAGUGUGGUGUUGAAAAUGUGUAGACGAGUGAAAGGCAGUGAAGGUGUGUUUAGGGCAAUGUUGCGUUAGAUGUAGGGAUAAUUAGUAAACAAGGUAUUGCUGUUUUGUUAAUUUUGUCCAUUACAGGAGUUGACUAUCCGAAGGCCUGACUCGCAGCGGCAAUGAGCCUCGUGUACCUUGCAUUACCUACGCCACCGCCGCAAGAUGAGGGAAGAAGAGCUGUUUGGUAACCAUAUUAGGGCCCAUAUCACCCCCGAAGCUCAUCAUGGGUGUAACCACCUAGAACCUGGGUAUCAUGGUGACACGUAGGAGUUGGUGAUCCAAAAGCCGCCCCACAGCCGCUACUGCUACUCGGAGGGUUUCUGCCUUGCAUCGGGCCUUCACUGCCGGCCCGCUAACACGUGCCGCCGUCGCCGCUACUGACAGGGAUUUCGCCUCGCUGCGGCCUGGCAAACACCUUCUACGUCGCCGCUAUUGACACUGAGGGACUUCGCCUCGCAGCGGCCUGGCAAACACCUGCUACAUCACCACUACCGCUGCCGCCGCCGUCCAGUGAGAGAUUCAUCUCUGACAUCCUGCCAUUCAACGCCUGCUGCCACCACCACCACCUCCUUAUGGUUCUGUCACUGUACUGAAGCUGUUGUCAUGAUUGAAUAAUAAAUUGUGAAGAAAU